rnacentral:lncRNA from 1 species
AAAUUUAUUUUGGGACUAGUAUCAAUAGAAAUUUUGUUUCCUCUGAUAAACUUAGCUAAAACGUCUUGACUAAGUUGGCGUACCCUCCUAUGUGAGAGAUCAUAACUAGAUCUAGAUGCACCUAAAGCUAACUUUUGUUAUUUCCAACACUUGCAACUGUGGAAGAUAGUGGUUACAAUGAUUCCUUGAACUACGGCACCGGAAGAGCUCUUUCACCUCUUUUUUGGUCGUCCAUAGAAAAACGAGAGGAGUCAAAUUCAAAACUUGUCCUUCAAACAAAGACCAGAGGAGCCAAAUUCAAAACUAGAACUGUUGUCAUGAAGAAGAGGCUAGCAGAAAUUAAAUUCCUCUUAAUCUAGGGAACAACAAGAAAUUCUCAAGAUCAAGAGAUUUGGAUGUUGUUUUUAAAGUUGUUUCACUAGUUACUAGUUUGAGUGAUAGAGACUGCAUUUUCAUUCCCACCAGAAUCUUGUCAUGACCACUGUAUGGUUUUAGAGGAUGAAACAGUACCUGGGUCGGCAUGAUUAGAGUUUCCAUUAUCAGUAUCAUUUAACUAAACCUCCUCACCUGGCUUAGGUGCCUCCAUAGCAGAAAAGGUCUGAGAAAGAUCAUUUGAAACAAAAGUAUGGUUCAAUUUUUGUCUGCACUGAAGAGCAGAGAUUGGAAACUUUGACAUUGAAUGCUGAUCGGGCUUGAGACAGUGACCGGGGAUUGUUAGGUUGAUGAGGGUGUAAAUGAGAACAAGGUUGUGGCUAUGGGUAAUUGGAUGGUUGAAUUGUUCAUGUUCCAUAGAGUUUACGGUCUGAAUAAGGAUUGCAACCUCCCCGCUAUCAUUGGCCUACUUGGAAUCUACUUCUGCGUCCUCCACAAAUUCCUCGGCCUUGGUUGGCACAAAUUGCUCCAGUUUCCAUAGAAAGUGUGGUCAGUGGUAUCGCUUGACUCGCUCUACGCGGCACCUUAGUCUCUUCUUGCAUUAGAAGUGGACGAAGUUGUUCAAAAGUAGGCUUUGCUUUGUGUUAGUGUGCUCACAAAAUUUCUAUAUUCCUCGGGCAUCCCAACUAGAACAAUCAUAACAAGGUUAUGGUCUGAUUCUCCUUCCCCAAUCGCCUGAAGUGCAUCACCAAUUGACUUCACCUUUCGCAUGUACUCAGACAUGAUCAUUGUUUGUUUUUUAAUGCUUCUCAAUUCUAACUUGAGAGAAAAAGCAGUGGAUGCAGUUUUGUCCAAAAAAUAUGCUUCAAUAAAUUUUCAUUCAUCAUGAGCGGUUAUGGGUAGAGAUCAGCAUCUGAAGAAUACUGAGCGACAGUGUAGCAUUGAUCCAAGUCAAUAUGGUGGUGUCUUCUUUGUUCCAGAUAGUGUCUUCUAAAUUGACAACCAACCUCUUAUUAGAAGACUCAAUGAAUUGAGGAGGAAUUGUAACUGUCCCAUCUACAAAGGAUGCCACUCCAAAGCUUUCUAAAGCAUUCAAAAGAACUUGUUUCCAAACCAAAUUAGUGAUGUCUGCAAAUUUUACUAGUACGAUUGUUUUGCUGUUGAUAAUGGAGAGAGAAGAGAUGUUUGCCGCCAUGACUCACCAAAUAACAGGAUUGUAGGAUGUAGGGAGAAUAGCAGCAGUCAACAAGCCUUAGUAAGAGAGAGAAAGAACCAGCAGAAGAGAAAAAUCACCCAUAGGGC